rnacentral:rRNA from 1 species
UACGUAGGGGCAAGCGUUGUCCGGAUUUACUGGCGUAAAGCGCGCGUAGGCGGGAGGUGAAGUCCGGUGGGAAAGCCCACGGCUCAACCGUGGAAGAACGCUGGAACUCACCUUCUUGAGGCGGCAGAGGAAGUGGAAUUGCUGGUGUAGCGGUGAAAUGCGUAGAGUAUCAGCAGGAACACCCGUGGCGAAGGCGGCUUCCUGGGCCGCCCUGACGCUGACGGCGCGAAAGCGUGGGAGCGACGGGAUAGAACC